rnacentral:rRNA from 1 species
GAUGAACGCUGGCGGCGUGCUUAACACAUGCAAGUCGAACGGAAAGGCCCUGCUUUUGUGGGGUGCUCGAGUGGCGAACGGGUGAGUAACACGUGAGUAACCUGCCCUUGUCUUUGGGAUAACUUCAGGAAACUGGGGCUAAUACCGGAUAGGAGCUACUGCUGCAUGGUGGUGGAUGGAAAGUUUCGGCGGUUGGGGAUGGACUCGCGGCUUAUCCGCUUGUUUGUGGGGUAGUGGCUGACAAAGGCUUUGACGGGUAGCCGGCAUGAGAGGGUGACCGGCCACAUUGGGACUGAGAGACGGCCCAGACGCCUACGGGAGGCAGUAGGGGGGAAUAUGGCAGAAUGGGCGGAAGCCAGAUGCAGCAACGCCGCGUGCGGGAUGACGUCCUUCGGGUUGUAAACCGCUGUCGCCUGUGACGAAGCGUGAGUGACGGUAAUGGGUAAAGAAGCACCGGCUAACUACGUG